rnacentral:lncRNA from 1 species
AGUUAUUUCAGGAAGUGGCAGCUUGUUCCCUCCAUUGUGAACUCAUUGUUGGUUGGUUGGUGUUGGUUUACAUCUUGAAAUCAGUAAAUAAUCCUUGGGCUGAAACUUAUGAUCUUUGAGAAAUGAAUUUCAAAAACCAGAUGAGUUUUGCUGGGUGUUUCAAGAUGGCCAAACAGGAACAGCUCCAGUCUACAGCUCCCAGCGUGAUCAAUGCAGAAGAAAGAUUAUCCUCGAUACUUGGAUAAUGUCCAUAUAUGGUGCUGAUUUUGGCCAUGUAACUUUAUUUUAUGUUAUGGUGAGUAGAUUAAAUCUCUGAAAUUUUAGGCUUUGUCAUGUCACUUGCUUUAAUCAAAUAAAUAUUUACUGGUGUGACACAAGCAAACACCUGAAGC